rnacentral:lncRNA from 1 species
CUUACACUUGCAGUAGAUAUGGACGUCCCAAUCAUCUAUCGCAUCGAUCUGGACGUCCCAUCACCUAUCGCAUCAAAUCUUCGAUUAUUUAGUCAUCUCCUUCUCUACCGCGCUGUGUUCAUCCAAUCAGAGUAGCAGCACGCGACGCCAUUCUCAUCUCCCCGACCACUACGUACGAUCUCUCUCUCUCUCUCUCUCUCUUUCUCUGCGCCAUUGGGAUUGACAUGGUUCUUCUCACCUGAUUUUGUACUUGGAGUACCUGGGGUAUUCCUCCGUCGUGUUUUCCUUUUUCUUUUUUGAUUUUGAAUGGUUCAAUCAUUGAUUGUCGCUUCUCAAAAACACUUUCACCGCGGUGUUUUCUUUUUCUUUUUUUUUGGGGGGGAGGUAGGUGGUGGGGGGAAAAAUGGGGACCCGGUUGAUUUCGCUUCGCUUUCACUAAACAACUCAACCUAUCAGUAGGAUGCAAGUGGUUUGCGAGAUUGCCGUUUGGGAGUACCUGCCGGCCAUGAGAGUUUUCGACAUUUUCCUACGAAAGUUGUGGAUUCUUUGUUCGUUUGUCUAUCAUAUUCAUCAUCUCAUGAUAUCUUAGACCAGGAACGAGUCCGGCUGUUCAGUCUCUGCCAUAUGUUGCCCAAUAAAUAAAUUUCUAUCUGUAGUCCUUCUGUUGAUUUAAAGAGUCUAGCCUUGCUGAGUCAGUAGAUGAUCUU